UUUCAAAAUAACAUGCGUUUUUCAUCCAGCAUAUGCAGAGUCCCUGAGGAGAGUCAAAGAACAUAUCAGUUCAUGAAGCUACAAGUUUCCUGGUGAGGGUCACAUGGUCCUUCUGCUGAUGGCCACACAUGUCCUGAUUCUCUUCUGGCCCGCUGCCCAACAGAAGUGGGAUGGCCAUUCAUUUGGGUCUCACUCCUGAAUAAAGCCAUCCAUUGGUGAACUGCAUACUUAAUCCCCACCUCCUGAAUCUCCCAGAGAGGAGACUUCACCAACUCAUGGUCCCGAUCUCCAAGGUAGGGGUCUUCACAAGCCUUGCCCCUGCCUUAGUCGUGAGGAUGCCGUGGAGGAUGUUGACCACUGUAUGACCCACAGGAAGUCCAUGCAAAAAAUGUCUUGUUUCUUCUAAGGAUCUGGUCUUUUUCUUUCAGGACCACAUGACAUUUGUAAUUAAUCAUGUUUCUUAUUUUCCUCUUUGCAAUGGUCUCCAGGAAGCCCAGAGCCCAAUUUUAAUAAUUACGUAAAACUUUGUAUGCCUGCCUGCUUGCCAUUCUUCUCCCUCUCAUCUCAUCUGUGUAAUCUCUUAUAUUUUUCCUAGACUUUUAAUUUUAAAGAUCUUAAUUUUCAAUUUUUGAACUUUUUCUGUUUUGCAGAGGUUUCUUAUUUUUGUUGGUACCCUGGAAAGUCGCCUCAUAUUUUUAGUUGUGGAAUGAACCAGAGCAUUAGAAAAAUAAUUUUGGAAGAUGCUUUUUCUAACAUACACUCUUCUGUUCAAAUGCCUCCUUCUCCCCUACCCAACUGAUGUGGAGAGGUUUAGAGGGUUCCACAGAGACCACAGAAGUGAGGUGGGGCAGCCGGUGGUGUGAAAGGAGAGAUUUGUAGCUCAAGUCCAUAGGGCCAAAAUGCAUUCCAGCUGCCUGGGCACCCUUGAAAUGAGGUGUGAGGGCUGCUAGGCUACUUAGCAGGGCUUCCAAACUUAGGAAGUGCCUCCUGUCCUAACAGGACUGCCACUCCUGGGAUCAGCCUGGAAACUUGCAGGGCCAACUUGGGACUUGCAAUGCUUUCAGAGUCAGAAUUGGGAAGAUCCCUGGGUCUUUAUCACAUCAGGGGAGGGGUGGCAGUCCCUAGAACCCAGUGGGUUAGAUGCCAUCCUGUCCCCUUCUAUGAGGAAUGGCUGUGAUAAAAUAAUAACUGGGAACAGUACGUGACCCAGUUGGAACAAAGGGGCUGAGGAUCGAUGCCGCACAGCCACUGCCUGCCGUGUGGAUCCUUUUACUACAACAUUAUAUAUUAUAUGCAAAUCGCGGCACAAACUUAAGGCCGCUUUUGACGUCAAGUGGCUUCUUUGAGCCUAUAUGUUAUAUUUUACAGAUCCUGGACAGUAACAUUUUUCUUUUUAGUGCGAAGUUGCUCAAGGUUCAUCUGAGACUCUUUUAAAUUGCUGCUUUCAGAGAAAUAACAAUGUAAAAUGACACGAUGAUGUAUGGCCCCGUCCGGCCAACUGGGGCUGCGGCAGCCGCAAACGCCACCAAACCUCUGGGAAUGAAGCGGUCUCCGGAGCGCCAUUGUGCAAUUGUCCUACCCGGAUCAUUUUUAAUUAGUUGCAAUUAAUUUCAAGUGACAGCGUCCUGCACUAUCAAGUCAGAGAGGCUCCGGUGCGUGUGUGGGGUUAUUAGGAACAGACGGCUGGUGAGAGAGAAGCCAGAGGGGGGUCUCAUCACAGGGCUUUUACCUCCAACAAGAUUUCCU